UUUUCGUUUCCCGAAAUUUUCGACUCGAGAAAAACAUAUCCAGAAUCUAGACUUUUGUACUUGUUUGAAGAACACAGAGGCAACUGGAUUGAAGCUGCUAAGCAAUGUGAAAGGGCAGAAGGAACUUUAGCAACUGCUAUGUACAAAAUCUGUACUUUGGGAUACCUAAAACAAGGAGUUAUCUAUUUCAUUGGAGAUGAGAAAUCAUCGGAAAUAUGGAGAUGGAUAAAUGGUUCUCCCAUUAACAAGACAUACUGGGCUCCAGUGAAUUUUUCGACCACAGAAUCAACUUUAUUCGACACUCCUGAUCAAACAACACUUUUCGAAGAAUCUUCAAAAUCCUAUGG